rnacentral:rRNA from 1 species
GACGAACGCUGGCGGCGUGCUUAACACAUGCAAGUCGAACGCUGAAGACCUGGCUUUUGUUGGGUUGGAUGAGUGGCGAACGGGUGAGUAACACGUGAGUAACCUGCCCUCUUCUUUGGGAUAACGCCCGGAAAUGGGUGCUAAUACUGGAUAUUCACUGGCCUUCGCAUGGGGGUUGGUGGAAAGGUUUGUUCUGGUGGGGGAUGGGCUCGCGGCCUAUCAGCUUGUUGGUGGGGUGAUGGCCUACCAAGGCUUUGACGGGUAGCCGGCCUGAGAGGGUGACCGGUCACAUUGGGACUGAGAUACGGCCCAGACUCCUACGGGAGGCAGCAGUGGGGAAUAUUGCACAAUGGGCGAAAGCCUGAUGCAGCGACGCCGCGUGAGGGAUGGAGGCCUUCGGGUUGGAAACCUCUUUCGCUCAUGGUCAAGCCGCAACUGUGGGUUGUGGUGAGGGUAGUGGGUAAAGAAGCGCCGGCUAACUACGUG